UACAGAGGUCUCAAGCGUUGUUCGGAAUCACUGGGCGUAAAGGGCGUGUAGGCGGUCAGGUAAGUGAGACGUGAAAUGCCCCGGCUUACCCGGGGACCUGCGUCUCAUACUGCUUGGCUUGAGUACGGGAGAGGGUGUGGGAAUUCCUGGUGUAGCGGUGAAAUGCGUAGAUAUCAGGAGGAACACCGGUGGCGAAGGCGCACACCUGGCCCGAUACUGACGCUGAGGCGCGAAAGCUAGGGGAGCAAACAGG
rnacentral:rRNA from 1 species